UACUGUUGCAUUAUCAUAGUGCUUGUGUUCAAGUUACCCUUAUUUUACUCAAUAAAUGGCCUCAAAGCACCAGAGUAGUGAUGUUGGCAAUCCUGGUAUGUCAAAGAGAAGCCAUAAAAUGCUUCCUUUAAGUGAAAAGGUAAAAAGUUUUCAACUUCAUAAGGACAGAAAAAACAACAACAACAACAACAACUGUAUGCUGACGUUGCUACAAUCUAUAGUAAGAAGAAAUCUUCUAUUUGUGAAAUUGUGAAGAAGGAAAAAGAAAUCUGUGUUAGUUUUGCUGUUGCACCUCAAACUGCAAAAGUUAUGGCCACUGUACUUGAUUAAGUGAUUAGUUAAGAUGGAAAAGACAUUCAAUUUGUACAGUAUGUUUUGAGAGGGAGCGUAGAUGCACAUAACUUUUAUUAUAGUACAUUGUUAUAACUGAUCUUUUUUAUUAUUAGUUGUUAAUCUCUUACUUGCCCAAACUUUCAGAGUAGACAGACUACCUUUGCUUUCAGUGUGCUGUGAAGCAUUUUAUCCUCAUGUUUGUAAAUCUUAUAGUCAAUAAAACUGGAAAUGGAAGGAUCGAUUGUCCUUAAACUUUAUCUUAGGUAUGUAUGUAUAGGGGAAAAAAAAAACAGUAUAUACAGGAUCUGGUACUGCGCACAAUUUCAGGCAUCUACUGAAGGUCUUGACACAUAUUCCCAGGGGACAAGGAGAGCAGCGGGGGGAGGGGGGUGAGACUACUAUAUGACUAACCACGCUUAUAUCAUAAACUUUGCUCUGACUCAGUCAGUUACCUAGCGUUGGAAGACACACCUUAAAAUCUCAGUGUAGACCUAAAUCGCCACAAAUAUCCUCCUCUAACUCUUCCUCCUGAAACCACUAAAACUCAGGAUGGUGUUUUUCAUUACUACAGCAGGUCUAAUACAUGUAACUUUACUUGAUCAGGAGAAAUUUCUGAUAAUUUUUUGAAGAUGUAACAAUUUACCAAAGUCCUUUACCAAAAAUUCAAAUAUAUCUUUUUUUUUUUUUGGUAAAAUAUACAGUGAGAGAAAAUGUUUUAUCUGGUGGCAUGCCUCCAGCAAGUUGCAAGGGGCAGCCACUACCUAGAGGAUUCUGGCUUAGAAAAAAAACACAAAACAUGAAAUUUCCCAUUCUUAUUUAUCAAAUACCAAAUAUAAACUAGUCACCAUGGUAGGGGUUAUUAAUAAAAUAGGGAAUAAAACUGACUCCAUCCUUCCUUAUGAAAUUUUGAGAGAGUUUGUGUUCAAUUCUGUAAUCAGUCAUUUAUUUGCUUUUAGAUUCUGAGCAGGUGACCAUCUGUCUAAGGUUUACUUUCCUGGUCUUCAGAGAAGGAUUAGUAAUAAUUUCUUUAUAAAGCUUUUGUAAGGAUUGCAUGUGCAUAGUUAUAGAAAUAAUUUACAAUGUUGGGCACAUAGUAAGCACUCAAUACAAUGCAGUAUUUUCAUAUAAAGAGCAAAAAACCAGACAUAAUUCUAAAUAAAUAAUUAUAGAUUGUACUGAUUGCUAUGAAGGAAAUAAAUAAGAGGAAGUAAGAAAAGAAUACAGGUGCUAGUGGUGUGUUCACAGAACAUUUUAUCUGAGAAUACAUAUUAAUAGUAGGGAGUAAGUAGGAACAGACUAUGAGAGAGGGGCUCACAUUUCAGGAAGAUGAGAUGAGGGAUGUGCAAAGGCACCAAGAUGGGGAGUAGGGACGGGUCUGCAAGGUUUGAAGCAAGACCAGUAUGGCUAGAACUUAGUGACAAAGUGAGAGGACUAACUACUAGUGUUAUCAUUAAGCCCUAAGGAUACGUCAAAAAGCAAAGGAGUGGAAUAGGGUGAGCAAAGAGGUAUUGCUUAGCAUAGAUAGUCCUUGAAGCCUAAUUUCACCAAACACCAAUGUGUCAGCAAGGGGACUGUUCUAUAUCCUCUGAGACUACAGCAUAGUUGGAUGAAGAUGGCAAGACUCCAUUACAACAAAGAGAUUCCAUCCAGUUUGGUCAAGAUGGAACAACUAUCAGCAAAGGCUGGAGAAGUCAUAAUGCAUAUUGUUUUGUUUUGCUGACCACUGAUUCUCAUCUACUUCAUGUGAAGCAAGAUGAAGGCAGGUUUAUUGACUGGAACUUUAUGGACUUUACCUACUUUUACCUUAUUGAGAAAUUGGACUCAAAUGCACUACCUUGAUUUACAAGGGUAAACAGGUAAUGUUUCUGAUACUGAAUAUCUUUUUUUUAUUGUUGUAUGUACGCAUAGUGAGAAAUACAUAAUAUAAGAUGGGGAGUAAAUUUGACCUAGGUUUAUUUUAUUUUACUUUAUUUAUUUUAUUUCUCCAGAGGUAAAGGUUUAGAUUUACUUUUGAGACAGCUGGAUAUAUCAAAAGUCCCCCUAAAAUUUGUGCAAUAGUUGAAAGUUUUCAAUGUUUUCCUACCUGAUUUUUAUCAAAUUAUUUAUAUUUAGUAAUUAUCAAAGUGUUUAUGUUUGGUGUUAUAAAACUCUCCAGACCAUAAAUUGGAACAUAAGUCAAUGAAAUAAUCCAUUCAUUUCAGGAUAUUAUUGUUGUAUUCAAUCCUAUGAAUCUUGAGAGGAUUCUAUUAUUCCAUGGGCAUUUCAGUCCAUAAAUAUUGCUCAGUUAAAUUCCCACGAUCCAGGCCAGAAACCUUUUAUGAAAAUUGAGAUGGCAUUCACAUUCAUGUUAAAAUAAUAGAAGACCGGGGAAUGUUUCUUUUGGAAUAGUUCAUCUCUUAUCCUCUACACAUUAUCUUGCCCAUAUACCUGUACAAUUCUGAUAUUAUAAUUUAAUCAAUUUAAUACACUUCCCCGUCUUCACUAAUGAGUUUCUUUUUUAUGCUCAAAGCUAGAUUAUCAAAAGCCUCACACAUAUCCCAUACAGGAUCCAUUAGGAAAUCAUAACACAUACAAGGCAAGACAGUGAGAUACAAAUUAUCUUUUUAAAAAAAUUAUAGUAUAGUUGAUUUACAUUGUUAUUUUCUAAUGUAUACCAAAAUGAUUGCUAUACAUAUAUACUUUUCAUAGUCUUUGCUUUUAUGGUUUAUUAUAGGAUAUUGAAUAUAGUUUCCCUGUGCUACCUUGUUGUUGUUUUUUCCCUUCUAUAUAUAUAAUAGUUUGCAGUGAGACACACUUUAGCCCCAUAAUUAUGAUGUGAUCUCCAAUACACUUUUAUUGAUAGGUUUAAAAGUCUGUGCAUGUCAAGGGGAAAUGAGUUUAUUAAAACUGUAGCACCAAUUGAAAAUAUGAGGAGAAAACUGCAAUACAUAUUUGAAAUGUGUGUGUCUAUAUCAAUGUAUCUUGAACAUUAAUAACAAGUCUCCAUUAUGCCAAAUCUCUCUUCCUCUCAUAGAGUUGGUAUUUCUAACUUAAUGAAUUUUAAAAUCUGUCUCUGUUCCUUUUUUCUCCUUGUGUUUUCCUCUUCCUUAUUAUGAAUGGUUUCUGUACAGUGGUGAUAUUUUACAUUUGAUUUUUAUACCUAUCGCCAGGGAUAGACCCACAGAAAUGGUUGUGAUGACAUGGGAAAAAAAUCAGACUCUCCUCUUGCUUAUAAUCCCUUGAUUUCUCUGUCUAUAGAGAAUUGAUAUAGGGUAGGCUAUCACAGUAAAUAAACAACCUCCAAAUUCAGAUACACCUGGAGUUCCCGUCCUGGCUCAGUGGUUAACAAAUCCGACUAGGAACCAUGAGGUUGUGGGUUCAAUCCCUGGCCUUGCUCAGUGGGUUGAGGAUCCAGUGUUGCCGAGAGCUGUGGUGUAGACGCGGCUUGGAUCCAGCGUUGCUGUGGCCCUGGUGUAGGCUGGCAGCUACAGCUCUGAUUCGACCCCCAGCCUGGGAACCUCCAGCUCUGAUUCGACCCCUAGCCUGGGAGCGGCCCUAGAAAUGACAAAACAAAUAAACAAACAAAAAAACCAAAUUCAGAUACACCAAAAUUUCAGUGGUUUGGCGUAAAGAAAAACUCCUGGCCCAUUUCACUGUAGGAGGAGGAAUGGGCUCCAAGCCUGCAGUUCCACAAGGACACGGGAGCUUUCCUUCUAGGCAUCUGCUAGGGCCAAGGAGACCUGUAUCUCACCUACUGAAUCCAGCUAGGAGUCAAGGGAUGACAGAUGGAUUGUGUGGGUUUGUUUCUUUUUUUCUAAUUGAGAUAUAAUUGACAUUAUAUUAGCUUCAGGUGGAUAACAUCGUGUCUCAGUAUUUAUAUAUAUUGUGAAAGAAUUAGUGUGGUUCUUUUUUUCCUAUGUUCCAGGUCUGGAGGCGGCAUAUGUCGCUUCUUGUACAUAAUACUGGUGUCAGAAUGCAGUUGCAUGGCCCUACCUAAGUACCAGGAACAUGAGAUCACUUGCCUGACUGUAUGCCCAGAAGAAAAGGAGGAAGGAUUUGGUGAACUCAUAUCAUUCCCUAGCAUAAUGUGCACUGUCCAAUUCACUGAGGCCUAUAUUAUUAUACACAUGAAAUGAAUUGGUUGAGAUGAGAACACAAAUUAACCUGAAAAAAAUGAUGUCACCAAAUCUGUGGAAGAGCGAUGCCAACCAACACACUUUCAUAAACUACCACAAAGAAGCACUGCUAUAUUUUAACGGGUUAGAAAUGGAGUAAUAGAGUACAUGGUACAAGUGUGCUAACAAAAAUAUUAGUCACCCCUACAAAGUAAUAAGUGUUCAUAAUUUUCUUAUAUGCCAGAUGAGCAAAACUUAAUUGCAUCUAAUUAUCAGAACUGCUUUUAGCAAUGUCAUGUUACAGAAAAGAAACUUGAGUUUUAGAGAGGUUAAAGACAUAAGGUAAAGUGAUCCCACAAGUGUUUCUUAGAAAAAAUAUUCAUACCGGAAUUCCCAUCGUGGCGCAGCAGUUAACGAAUCCGACUAGGAACCAUGAGGUGGCGGGUUUGAUCCCUGGCCUUGCUCAGUGGGUUAAGGAUCCAGCGUUGCUGUGAGCUGUGGUGUAGGUUGCAGACAUGGCUCAGAUCUUGCGUUGCUGUGGCUCUGGCGUAGGCCAGUGGCUACAGCUCUGAUUAGACCCCUAGCCUGGGAACCUCCGUGUGCCGUGGGAGCGGCCCAAGAAAUGGCAAAAAACAAAAAAAAAAAA
rnacentral:lncRNA from 1 species